ensembl:snoRNA
CAGCAUGAGUCCAAGGCUGCAGUUCAUUGUGGCCAAGGGACCUCCUACUGCAUGUAAGAACAAUGUGGAGAGAUUUUGACAGCUUGGGUCAGAUCAUAUCUGCAGCUGCAAUGUGCCUUUCUAAUAAUG